GCCGCCCAGCAGCGUAGAGCCGAGGCGCGCCUCGAGCUCGCCGUCGGCCGCCUCCAUGUGCGAGUAGAGGAUGUGCUGCAGCUGCGUGUACUCCACCUCCGUCAUCUCCACCAGGCUCAGGCAUGCUGCAAGAGUCACCAAGACUUGGGAGAACCAGAAGUGGCCACCUGAGACCCCACCUAAGUUUGGACUUAGGCGGCUGCACAAGAAAGCAAUUUGCCCGUCUUCUUGGUAAGAGCCCCUGGCACCAGCUGGGAGGAGAACCAGUCAGCUGUUCCCGUGAGCCUACAGGUGCGCGGGCUGAGAAUCAAACAUCCCCUGCCUCAGCAACUGGGGACAGAGUUCUGAGCAUCUCUUGGGAGGAUGACCAUAUGCAGUAUAGCAAGGAAGGGGGAUUUCCUUCUGUUCUGGUUCAAGGCAAAGGUUAUUUUCACUGUUACGUUUUGUAAUGAUUGUUAUGCUCUAUUCAAUAUUCUCUUUCAAUUGGUUUUACAAUGGUCUGUUAUUGGUUUGAUUUCGCUAUACCUAACUGAUUGGACAACUGUUGUGAAGAUAACGAGAUGUACUAUAGCACCUGUUACUACUGUCCCAGUGUCCUGCUGUGAAGCUCUGUACCAGUGUCACUACAUUGCCUAGACUGGUUUUGUUUUCUCUUAUUCUGUUGUAUUUUUACUACAUUGUAAAUAAAAUUUAAAAAUGUUAUAAAAAGGA